rnacentral:lncRNA from 1 species
AUUACAGAAAUGAAUGGAAAAGGAUUUUUAGAUCUAUUGUUUCUCCAUUCAGAAUCCAUUAUUAACAUGUUAGUAAGUUUCCUUCCAGGUUUUUUCUUACAGUGUUAUUUUAGGUGGUGGUAGUCAUGUUAUAGACACAAGUGAGCAAAUCACUUUUUCACUGGUUACCGGAUCAUAAACGUGCAUCACACUAUCAUAUUUUCAAAAAUAUGCAGUGGGAGCGUGACCUGCACUUCUAGCUUCUGCCUGGAACUCUCACCGUUUCACACAGUGCAGACAGCACUUCCUCCCUGGCAAUGAAGGUGCAAGCUACUACAAAUGGAAGAUAUAUAAGAGGCUGGGAAGCAAAGGACAGAGGAAUGCCUCUCUACAUUUAUUUUUCCACUACCCAACAGGUUUUCAGAGAUGGGGAAAAUGAAGAGCCUGGAUCAUUUCACAAGAGGCCCAGAGAGAAGGGAACCCAGCCUCAUGCCCUCCAACUGGCACCUAGGUUUUCAUAUCCAUGACAACUGGCUACUUUCUCUGAGCACACCAACAAAUCCUCUGCCUUCCUCUUGGCUUUCUUUUUGGCUUCACUUCACAAAGAACAGAAAAAUGUUGCUGGAUUGCAAACUUCAAGAUAAUUCAACAAAUGUCUCUUGAGAAAAUCUCUGUAUAAGAAUUUUUAAAUCAGAGCCAAGUUGCGGGGGGUGGUUAGUGUUUUUCCUGACUCAGCAACUCCACACAUUCCCUCCAAAUGGACAGGCUAGCUGCUGGGCAGAAGAGGAGAAUGGGGGCACAGGUAACCUGUGACAGUUAACCUCUUCAUGGUGUAGUGUGGAAAGCACACCUCUGGGUGUGUCUUGGAGGGUGCUUCCGAAAAGGAUUAAUGAGGAGAGAACCCACUUUGAAUGUGGACGUCCCAACCAAAGCCUGGGGGCUCAGAUGGAACAAAGCAGGGAGAAGACAGAGCCCUGGUUCUUCCUCUUUGUUUUCUGGCCAUCAUAGAGGACUCUUCUGCUAAUAAACCCUCCAGCCUUGAGGGAUUGACACCUCUAAAACCAUAAGCCAAAAUAAAUCUGUCCUACAUUAAGUUGAUGUUUGUGUGGGUAUUUAUCACAGCAUGAAAAGCUCACUGAAAAAUAACAAAAUGCAACAA